rnacentral:rRNA from 1 species
CCUACGGGUGGCAGCAGUGGGGAAUUUUGGACAAUGGGCGCAAGCCUGAUCCAGCUAUUCCGCGUGUGGGAUGAAGGCCCUCGGGUUGUAAACCACUUUUGUAGAGGACGAAAAGACACCUUCGAAUAAAGGGUGUUGCUGACGGUACUCUAAGAAUAAGCACCGGCUAACUACGUGCCAGCAGCCGCGGUAAUAAGGAGGGUGCGAGCGUUAAUCGGAAUUACUGGGCGUAAAGGGUGCGCAGGCGGUAGAGUAAGACAGAUGUGAAAUGCGCGGGCUUAACGCGGGAAUGGCAUAUGAGACUGGUCGACGAGAGUGUGUGAGAGGGAGGUGGAAUUCCAGGUGUAGCAGUGAAAUGCGUAGAUAUGAGGAAGAACACCGAUGGCGAAGGCAGCCUCCUGGGACAUAACUGACGCUGAGGCACGAAAGCGUGGGGAGCGAACAGGAUUAGAUACCCGGGUAGUC